GCCGUAUUGCUUCUCUUGAGAGCGGCGGACGGGUGAGUAAUGCCUAGGAAUCUGCCUGGUAGUGGGGGAUAACGUUCGGAAACGGACGCUAAUACCGCAUACGUCCUACGGGAGAAAGCAGGGGACCUUCGGGCCUUGCGCUAUCAGAUGAGCCUAGGUCGGAUUAGCUAGUUGGUGAGGUAAUGGCUCACCAAGGCGACGAUCCGUAACUGGUCUGAGAGGAUGAUCAGUCACACUGGAACUGAGACACGGUCCAGACUCCUACGGGAGGCAGCAGUGGGGAAUAUUGGACAAUGGGCGAAAGCCUGAUCCAGCCAUGCCGCGUGUGUGAAGAAGGUCUUCGGAUUGUAAAGCACUUUAAGUUGGGAGGAAGGGCAGUUACCUAAUACGUGAUUGUUUUGACGUUACCGACAGAAUAAGCACCGGCUAACUCUGUGCCAGCAGCCGCGGUAAUACAGAGGGUGCAAGCGUUAAUCGGAAUUACUGGGCGUAAAGCGCGCGUAGGUGGUUAGUUAAGUUGGAUGUGAAAUCCCCGGGCUCAACCUGGGAACUGCAUUCAAAACUGACUGACUAGAGUAUGGUAGAGGGUGGUGGAAUUUCCUGAGUAGUGCUGAAAUGA
rnacentral:rRNA from 1 species